rnacentral:rRNA from 1 species
UACGAAGGGAGCUAGCGUUGUUCGGAAUCACUGGGCGUAAAGCGCACGUAGGCGGAUUUGUCAGUCAGGGGUGAAAUCCCGGGGCUCAACCUCGGAACUGCCUCUGAUACUGCCAUGCUAGAGGAUUGGAGAGGUAGCUGGAAUUCUUGGUGUAGCAGUGAAAUGCGUAGAGAUCAAGAGGAACACUCGUGGCGAAAGCGAGCUACUGGACAAUUCCUGACGCUGAGGCUCGAAGGCUAGGGUAGCGAAAGGG